rnacentral:rRNA from 1 species
GACGAACGCUGGCGGCGCGCCUAACACAUGCAAGUCGAACGAGAGAGAGGGAGCUUGCUUCCUCGAUCGAGUGACGAACGGGUGAGUAACGCGUGAGGAACCUGCCUCAAAGAGGGGGACAACAGUUGGAAACGACUGCUAAUACCGCAUAAGCCCACGGCUCGGCAUCGAGCAGAGGGAAAAGGAGCAAUCCGCUUUGAGAUGGCCUCGCGUCCGAUUAGCUAGUUGGUGAGGUAACGGCCCACCAAGGCGACGAUCGGUAGCCGGACUGAGAGGUUGAACGGCCACAUUGGGACUGAGACACGGCCCAGACUCCUACGGGAGGCAGCAGUGGGGAAUAUUGCACAAUGGGGGAAACCCUGAUGCAGCGACGCCGCGUGGAGGAAGAAGGUCUUCGGAUUGUAAACUCCUGU